GGCAGUGUCAUGCCAGUAUUACUACAAUAAAAUCAUUGGCGAUACGGAUGCCAAAACGGCUGAUAGUUGGGUCCAGGUUGUGCUGAAAGAACUCUAGCAGUUUCAUAAUCUUUGCCUUACGCUCCUGGGUAGAUGUGGCGGCAAAUCGAAUCAUCUUGGCCACCUGAGCGACUCCAUCUUUGCGCUGCGACACAGAUAAGUUUUACGAAACUAUUGCUAUUUUUCCCAUUCCUGUGCAACUUGUCAUGGUCUCGUUUCGAAAAGCGUAAAAUUUUUUCGGUGCAAGUGCAAGAAAACUACAAGAAAACAAUGGCCGAUCUGCCCGCAAUUUAAAAGAAUUCCUCGAGGGCAUCACCAGUACGUAUAGCCGCUUUGAUUUCGAGUAUUUUGCUGCUGAUAAGCGAUCUGAGCGGACUUCUUUUCAAUUAAAGAGCCACCUGCAAAAAAGGCGAAGAAAGAAGAAGCACCUCCGCAGCUGGAUCAGCAGCAGAAGGAGCAGGUCGAGGAGCAGGUCGAAGAGCACUGCGUAAGCAGCGGCGGGAUGAGCAGCGGCGGGACUGCUCCCGCCCCCCAAGGUCUCAACUGGAAGCAACGCUGGGCCUUGGCCCAGCUAGCAUGCCAAAUGGGCCAUCCUGAGAUGCGAGGAAGGAUGUUGGCAUUGCCAAACAGGGCGCCUGUUCCUGCCGGGCCGGCAGAGGAACGCGACCCUCCCGUUCCUGCCGGGCCGGCAGGACAACAAGAACCUCAGGUUCCUGCCCGCCCGGCAGGUCCGGUGUUGACAACAACCGGUGAUGAGGAAAAGGCCGACCCGGCGGCGGAUAUUGAUGUCUCCCAUGUGAAUCAUCACCGACCGUAAAAGGUAAACAAAAAAAACGGCCGCCAUUCGCGGCGUAUUACUAUGAAUUU